rnacentral:rRNA from 1 species
UGCCAGCCGCCGCGGUAAGACGAAGGUGGCAACCGUUGUUCGGAAUCACUGGGCAUAAAGCGCACGUAGGCGGGAAAGUAAGUCAGGUGUGAAAUCCCUCGGCCUAACCGAGGAACUGCGCUUGAAACUACUUUUCUUGAGGGCAGGAGGGGAGCGUGGAAUUCCUGGUGGAGCGGUGAAAUGCGUUGAUAUCAGGAGGAACACCGGCGGCGAAGGCGACGCUCUGGCCUGCUUCUGACGCUGAGGUGCGAAAGCCAGGGGAGCAAACGGGAUUAGAUA